rnacentral:rRNA from 1 species
AACGAACGCUGGCGGCGUGUUUAAGACAUGCAAGUCGUACGGAUCGAAGUUGUAGCAAUACCGCUUCGGUUAGUGGCGCACGGGUGAGUAACACGUGAGUAACAUGCCCUGCAGUGGGGAAUAGCCCAGGGAAACUUGGAUUAAUACCCCAUGGUAUCGCGAGAUUAAAGGUGGCCGGUAACGGCUGUCGCUGCAGGAUUGGCUCGCGUCCUAUCAGCUAGUUGGUGUGGUAACGGCUCACCAAGGCGACGACGGGUACCUGGUCUGAGAGGACGAUCAGGCACACUAGAGCUGAGACACGGUCCAAACACCUACGGGUGGCAGAAGUCGAGAAUAAUUCACAAUGGGGGAAACCCUGAUGGUGCAACGCCGCGUGGAGGAUGAAGGUCUUCGGAUUGUAAACUCCUGUCAUCCGGGAGUAAGACCUGGGCGUGAAUAGCGCACAGGGUUGAUAGUACCGGAAGAGGAAGGGACGGCUAACUUCGUGCCAGCCGCCGCGGUAAAAC